rnacentral:rRNA from 1 species
GAUGAACGCUGGCGGCAGGCCUAACACAUGCAAGUCGAGCGCCCUUUCGGGGGAGCUGCGGACUGGUGAGUAACGCAUGGGAAUAUGCCCUUCUCUACGGAAUAGCCUCGGGAAACUGAGAGUAAUACCGUAUACGCCCUGUGAGGGGAAGAUUUAUCGGGGAAGGAUUAGCCCGCGUUGGAUUAGGUAGUUGGUGGGGUGAUGGCCUACCAAGCCGACGAUCCAUAGCUGGGUGGAGAGGAUGAUCAGCCACACUGGGACUGAGACACGGACUAGACUCGGACGGGAGGCAGCAGUGGGGAAUCUUAGAGGAUGGGGGCAAACCUGAUCUCGCCAUGCGGGGUGAGUGAUGAAGGGCUUAGGGUUGUAAAGCUCUCUCAGAUGGGACGAUAAUGACGGUACCAGCAGAAGAAGCCCCGGCUAACUACGUG